rnacentral:lncRNA from 1 species
UGGAAAGGAACAGGACAGAACACCCUUUAGUCCAAAUUCCUCCAGCUCUUCCCCAGCACAGCAUGUAUACACAGAUCCAACACAACUUGUAUGAGGUCCAUGCUUAUCCCUCAUCUCAAAACUGUUUCCUGCACUAUUUGCACUAACUUUCAGAGGAGUAAAAGAGUGCAUGACAUCUCUCUGGUCAUGCCCCUAAUUGUCAGAUGUAGAACUAUAGAAAAUUGCAGAGAGAAAAAACAAAGCAGUGACAAAAGGCAAAGUGGGCAAGGCAUCCUUCCAUCCCUUGUCCCAAAGCAUACUGUAAUCUUCAUUCUGCUGCUCUCCUAAUGUGGCUGCAGUGGCUAUUUUGAAGGAUGCUCUCAUGCCACCUGAUACAUUGGCAGUAUUGAUGUCAGCAGGGGUGCCUCGUUCCAUUCACAGCUGUGUGAUGCCUUCAUCUCACACAGCACAGACAAUGCAGGGUGGUUCCCUGGAGUGCUGCCCUUGCAGAGUGAAGACUGUUAACUGGGCACAAGCAGAUGCUGCUCUUUGUUCAGAAGCUGGCAUCACCAAGCAAACAACAGGAGCUGAGAAAUCAGGAGCCAGAAACCAGGAGCCACCAGUUCAACCAGGGGUCCCUCAAGCAAGCUCUGAAUGCAUUUACUCUGAAGGAUAACACCAGACUUCCUCAUUCCUGGCAACCAUCACUUCCUACAGAAGUUCAGAUCAGAAGCCUUGAGGAGAGAUCAGUGGUUUGUGUCCCCAGCUUCACCUUACCUGACACAACUUCUUCAUCCAUCAGGAAGCAAAAUAAAAGAGGUUCAUUUGUUAAGUGCAGUCAACCUCCCACCAAGAUCCUAGGACUCAUCCUGGAAUUGAAUUCUCCCCUGCAUACAAAGUCAGACAGGAGGAAGUCACCCUGCCUCCCUUAUAACCACAGGGUACAUCCCAGGUCCAGUGGGGUGAAUUAUCUCAUCUAAUUGAAGGCUCUACAGAAGAUGAUGCAUUGUGUCUUGGACUAUGAUGGAUUAAAGUGAAUGCCAGAGUUAAAAUGAGGGCAGUUCAUCUGACUCUUGGGCAUUCACUGAUGACCACUGACAAGGCUGGGAUAGUGGCAUAGCUUUUAAGUGCAGCCGUCAAACCUUAUUUGUUUUUCAGAGAGUAAAAGCACUAUCUUUUAAUUGAAUUGUUUGUUUGUUUUUCUGUCUUGAAGCCUCAGGUAUAGUCUGAAUCUGCCCUGUUCUCCCACACACACAGCCAGAAAUUGCACGAACCCAGAAAAGAAAGACAUUGGGUAGAAUCAUAGAAUAGAAUCACAGAAUCAUUAAGGCUGGAAAAGACCUCCGAGUUCUCCAAGAUCUCCAAUUCCAACCCCAAACCAUCCGCACUGACCUUGUCCCUCAGUGCCACAUCACCACAGUUCUGGAACACCUCCAGGGAUGGUGACUCCACCACCUCCCUGGCAGCCUGUGUCAAUGCAUCACCACUCUUUCUGAGAAAAAAAUUGUUCCUAAUAUUCAUCCUGAACAUCCCUGGUGCAGCUUGAGGCCAUCAUCGCUCAUCCUAUUACUGUCACUUAAGAGAAGAAGUCAACCCCUACAUCACUACAACCUCUAUUCAGGGAGUUGUGCAGUGAAAUAAUGUCUCCCCAGAGCCUCCUCUUCUCUAGACUGAACUCCAGCAGCCUAAUACACUGGUGACAGUAGAAAUACUUUUAAUAGGAACCAUUAAACCACCAGCCUCUCAUCUUCCCAUCCUAUAGAUAUAUCCCAACAAAAACCAUAGAAUGGCUUGGGUUGGAAGGGAUCCCAAGGAUCAUGAAGUUCCAAUCACUCUGCAACAGGCAGGGCCACCAACCUCCCCAUUUAAUACUAGACCAGGCUGCCCAGGGCCCCAUCCAACCUGGCCUUGAACACCUCCAGGGAUGGAGCAUCCACAGCCUCUCUGGGCAGCCUGUGCCAGCACCUCACCACUCUUUGUAGAAUCCUCUUGGUUCUCUGGAAAUUUUCUUUCAGAAAAUUACAUCUCUUCAGGCCCUUUCUAUGCUAGGCAUGAAGCCCAGUGAGCACAUUAACCUGUUUACUCAGAAGACUAGCUGGACUUACAUACUUGGCCUGGACUCAGGUGCAUUAUGCCCAUCAGCAGAUGAUGUUCUUUUUUCCCUGACAGUCAGCUCUCCCUUCUUGACGCAUUACCAGAAUCUGGUAAAGCAGCAGUGCUUCCUGAAAACAGUUUUUACAUACCCAGCAAGAAGCACACCAAAGUGACAAGUGUGAAUCAUUAGAUGUGAGAUCAGCAGGCAGAAAAGAAUGCCUCAUUCUCAGCGAAACAGAAGCACGGAAACAAAAGAGAAUGAAUAAAAAUGAAAAGCAAGAUUCUAAUGUACUCA